UACGGGGGGAGCAAGCGUUGUUCGGAUUUACUGGGCGUAAAGGGCGCGUAGGCGGCCACCGCAAGUCAGUUGUGAAAUCUCCGAGCUUAACUCGGAAAGGUCAACUGAUACUGCGGGGCUAGAGUGCGGAAGGGGCAACUGGAAUUCUCGGUGUAGCGGUGAAAUGCGUAGAUAUCGAGAGGAACACCUGCGGCGAAGGCGGGUUGCUGGGCUGACACUGACGCUGAGGCGCGAAAGCUAGGGGAGCGAACGGG
rnacentral:rRNA from 1 species